AUUGAACGCUGGCGGCAGGCCUAACACAUGCAAGUCGAACGAGUGGCGGACGGGUGAGUAAUGUCUGGGAAACUGCCUGAUGGAGGGGGAUAACUACUGGAAACGGUAGCUAAUACCGCAUACCAUCGGAUGUGCCCAGAUUGGAUUAGCUGGUAGGUGGGGUAACGGCUCACCUAGGCGAAGAUCCCUAGCUGGUCUGAGAGGAUGACCAGCCACACUGUAACUGAGCAACGGUCCAGACGCUUACGGGAGGCAGCAGUGGGGAAUAUUGCACAAUGGGCGCAAGCCUGAUGCAGCCAUGCCGCGUGUAUGAAGAAGGCCUUCGGGUUGUAAAGUACUUUCAGCUGGGAGGCGUUACCCGCAGAAGAAGCACCGGCUAACUCCGUGCCAGCAGCCGCGGUAAUUC
rnacentral:rRNA from 1 species